GACGAACGCUGGCGGCGUGCCUAACACAUGCAAGUCGAACGGAAAGGCCCUGCUCUUGUGGGGCUCUCGAGAGGCGAACGGGUGAGUAAAACGCGAGUAACCUGUCCUUGACUGUGGGAUAAAACCAGGAAACUGGGGCUCUUAUCGGGUAGGAGCUCCUGAUCCAUGGGGGGGGAUGGAAAGUUUCGGCGGUGUGGGAUGGACUCGCGGCUUAUCCGCUGGAUGGUGGGGUAGUGGCGUACCAGGGCUUUGACGGGUAGCCGGCCUGGGAGGGUGACCGGCCACAUUGGGACUGAGAUACGGCCCAGACUCCUACGGGCGGCAGCAGGGGGAAAUAUUGCACAAUGGGCGGAAGCCUGAUGCAGCGGCGCCGCGUGCGUGAUGACGGCCUUCGGGUUGUAAACCGCUUUCGCCUGUGACAAGGCGUGAGUGACGGUAAUGGGUAAAUAAGCACCGGCUAACUACGUG
rnacentral:rRNA from 1 species